GCCAUAUAGUGGUCAGUGCUAAGACGACAAAACAAUACAGGAACGGAAAUAAAAUUGACGUAAAGCCGUCUCGUAUUUUCUACCAAAAACCCUCGGUGAAAAGCUUGCUAAAAGGGAAAUCCGUAAGACUGCAUUUAUCCACAAGCAAGAGACACUGUCGUUGUAACAAACUUCGCGUGAAGAAAAAACUAGCUGGGGGAAAAGUACGAUACUUGAUCAUUGGCAGCAAGGUGGGAGGAAAGCUGCGGGUGUUAGCCAUGAAGAAGAUCGAAGACCGUGACCGACAGUCCAUUGGAAAUAUGGUAAAGAAAUGCAUUUGAACAUUUAUGAUCUAGGACGACACCGUGACCGCGACGGCUAGUAAUACAAUGAAAUUAAUAAAUAUUGUUAAGAAAAAAAUAAUUAAAAUCGCACGGAAGAUUUAGACGUUGUUCUCGGUCUGUUUACAACCGGUAAACCAAAGCUUUUGCGUAUGAAGUGGAUACUCAGAAUAUUGGUUCAGGAUAAAACGCCUCGAUAAAAGCCUCUGUUUUGACCUUUUCAAGCCGUGCUAAAUCCAUACGAUUGAUAAAUAGAGCCUAGAGGAUAUUACACAGCGGCGCGAGGAUAUGACUUUUAUCUUCGAGUGGUGAAAACAAUAUUUUACGAACGAGUGAGUAAAAUAUUGUUUUUAACACAAUAUUUUACGAACGAGUGAGUAAAAUAUUGUUUUUAACACGAGAAGAUAAAAGUGAUAUCUUCAAGCCACCGUGUAAGGGAAAAUUGGAAAAGUGAUGGGGGGGGGGGAUUUUCUAAGAGGCAAUAUAUAUUUUUUUGUACACCUAUAGAAGAAAAUUUUUUUCUCACUUGAUGGCUGGAAAUAUUUUUUUAAGUGAAAUUUAUAGGCUUAUCUAACAAGCAAGGAAUUUUUUUUGCACUAUGCCUGGGAAGAUUUUUUCUCUAAUUUUUUUCUGGGAAUAAUUUUUUUUUGGUUUUGCCGUCCCCAUCACUUUUCUAAUGGUCCGUCCCUAAUGUUCUGUUUAUUAUAUAGUCCCAAGCAAAAAAUUGUGAAAUUUCACGCUCAAAAGCAAAUUGGAAAAAGUCACGUGAUCGAUAUCUUCACCAGUGAAGAUAUGGAAAGUAUCUCGGUGUGUAUUUUUCAGUAUCUCACUCUCUGCUAUAUAAUAACACACGAUAAGCUUUCUUUGCAAUCAUUUAUUUGAAUGAAUUUGUUUCGGCCGUCGCCGUCCCUUUGCCGUCCUACAUCUUAAGGUGUGUAUGGACGACUUGCGCUUUAGACUGAAUUUUAAUCUAAGUAAGAACAACGAAAUCUAUCACCACAGCUAGAAAGAGCGUCUUGGAAUUAGUAAUAUUACAAAGUUUGGUCGCGAAAUGUUGUAAAAUACGGAAAAUAUAGCCCUUCAAAGUUGGCAAAUUUGUAUACUUUUGUAUUACGUGCGUGAAUUGGUAACUAAAUUAGUUACUAAUUUCCGCAAGUAAUAGAAAUGUAUACAAAUUUGCCAACUUCGCAGGGCUAUAAUUUCCGUAUUUUACAACAUUUCGCAACCAAACUUUGCAGUUUUUCUAAUUUUGAUAACUUCUUUCCAAAAAUAUCCUUUGUUAUUCCCAGAUUAAAAAUUUUGCUAAAACGCAAGUCGUCCAUUGAGUGAGGUCAAUUGUGUAAAAAUGUAGUAAAAAUUAGAUUGUAGUAUAUUGUUAGUUCGGAUGUUAACCAGUGAAAUUUAACUACUCGUUAUAUAUCUGUAGAACGGCACAGACACUUUGUUACCUCUGUGCUUAUGUAAACUUAACUAGAACAAUAGUAACGAGGCAUGUGAGUUUUCUAAGUUUAUGACCGCUUGCGUAGCAAGGAUAUGGACAACAAAGUUAGUAAGUGAACUUUCCUGACGAAGAGUUAUCGCUCCAAGGGAAAUGUAAAAGUUCGUAAAAAUUAUUAAAAAGUCAAAAAUGUUUUAGCCAAUCUCAAGUAUCUAUUAAAAAAUAAAUACCCACCCCUGGCCGAAAACGUUACAAAAGGAUACCAUUCAGUUGUCACACAUGUCCUUUACCACUUCUGUGACACGAGUUUGAUAACUGUUUCAAGUGCAAUUUUUUGCUGUCCAAAGUUUCAUGUUGUCUGCACAUGUACUUUCUUUGGUGAUGCCAUUUGUCUCCUGAAAAAUCAGAAAAUAAUCGUAUGACUAUUGUUGACAUUGCUUUUUAGUCUUCAAUAUUUCAUGCUUUGGAAAUGACAAUACAUUUUUAUUACCCAAUUAACCCUUGAGUUGUUUUGUUUUUCAUUUACCCAACCUUUUAUGAUCACUCAAAAUUUUGUUUACUGGACCCUUUUCUCUUUGGUGCCAUCCCUUGUCAUAAAAAAACGAGCAGUCUCUUACUAAGUCACCUGGUUACAUUAAGGGCUAACUAUCAAUGGACUAAUUAAGCUUUUUAAGCCAUCGUAUUAGACUUGCUGUGUUUGAAUAGAUUAUAAAUUCUCUGAUGUUUAUGUUCCAUUAUCUCAGCAGUGGCCUCGCCGUCGGACACCGAGAAAACAUUUAUACAAUUACUUGUGAAACAGUAUCGCCUCGCAAGUUUUUUUGCAUGCUGUGAUGAACAAAU